AGCGCGCUACCGCUUGAGCCACAUCCCCAGACCCUAAUUUUUAUUUUUAAACUUUAUUUACUUAUUUCUUUGGUGGUACUAGGGACUGAGCCCGGGGGUGCUUUACCACUACAUUUUCAGUCCUUUUCAUUUUAUUUUUAUUUUUUAUUUUUGAAACCGGGUUUUCCUAAGUUGCCCAGGCUGGCCUUGGAUGUACGAUCCUCCUGCUUCAGCCUCCCAAGUCACUAGGAUUACAGGCAUGUGCCACCAUCCUGGCAAGGGUCUUGGGGUCUUGAACAUCUAAUCCCAUCAUAGGCAAAUGCUGAGUACUUGGUUGUAGGAGGAGAACUAAAGCCCACCUGACCAUCCUGCCACCAUUCCACAGUGACCCCCAGAGGCAGGUGGGCAUCUAGGACCCCAGAGGGCUGUGGCAUGGCCAGUAUAAGGUAGGCAGUGUGGUAGAACCCUGUAGAGCACACUGGCACAAACUUGUUCUGUUGAAGGGCAAGUCGUCCAAAUUUUAGGCUUUGGGGCUCUUAAGGUCUCUGGCUCUGUCAGUUACCCAACUUUGCCAUACCUGAUGAAUGAAUCUGUGUUCCAAUAAAACUUUGUGGAUACUGAAAUUUUAAUAUUAUAGGAUUUCCAUAUAUGCCCAAAUUUUAUGCUUCUUCCCCCCCCCCCCCCCCAACCAUUGUAAAAUUCAUUCUAAUUGUUAGGUUGCACAAAAGCAGGCUAUGGGCAGAAUUUUGGCCAUAGUUUGCUGGUCCUGGUCCUAUAGAGCAAAGGUCUAGAGGUCAGCCAUCCUUCUUGCAGUCAAGUGCUGGCUAUUUCAUUAGCCAGUAGUGUGAUCCAGGACACGUUAGGCCUCUGUUUCUGUCAGCCUGGGACGGUGGCAUCUGUUGCUCAGGGAUUUCGUGAGAUGCAGUCUGGAAAAGCGCCAACUCUUUUUUCCAAUGAUUGGCAUGCAGCAACCCGUCCCACAUGCAAGCAAUGACCACUGCGCUGCCGUGAGUGUUCAGAGAUCAGUGGGAGGGGACAUGAAGGCUGGAGAGGCGGGGCUUCCUUUCUGGAGAAGGUCUGGGUGAGCAGACUGAUAGGAAACCUACUGAAAUGGAAGAAAGAGAAAAAUCUUCAGAGGUCCAAGGAUCUGGCCAUUGAAGGCUCUUAAGAGGUCCCCCUUCAAAGCAGUGCCAAGGGGAGGUGGGGUGGGCAGACACUGUGGACUGAAGAUGUGAGGCGAGGUUACUGGUGCCAAUCCCUUUGCUCCUCCAUCCUGAUUGGUGCAAGGGCAGGGCCUGAACAAAGCCCAGCUGACCAGAGCCCUUCCCUGAGACUGUGCACUUGGGAGAAUGCAAGCAAGUCCCUCUCUCGUCAGAGAACAUCACCACGUGAAAUGCAGUCCUGGCCAGCAGCUGUGUCCCCUGUCACCCAGGGCCUGCAAGUCAAAGAACCUGUGAUGUGAGAGGAUGGAGUCUAUCCCAACAGGAAGCAGAGACAAGAGAUUUAGUGAGUCCCUCAAAGGACUGUGUUCCUGCCCUUCCGCGGUUUGUGGCUUGGUGACUGAUUUCUUCCUCUGCUGGUGGGGCUAUCCAAAUCCUUUGAAUAAACUCCUGUUUCUCUAA